rnacentral:rRNA from 1 species
ACCCGUUGAUCCUGCGGGAGGUCGCUACUUUUAGGGUUCGACUAAGCCAUGCAAGUCAGAGGGGCUCUUCGGAGUCACAGGCAAAAUGCUCAGUAACACGUCGUUAAUCUAACCUUAGAUCUGGAAUAACCUUGGAAAACUGAGGCUAAAACCGGAUAUGGGAAAAUAAUUGGAAAAUGUUUUCCUUUAAAAGCAAUGUCUAAGGAUGAGACGGCGGCGGAUUAGGUUGUUGGCGGGGUAAUGGCCCACCAAGCCGACGAUCCGUAGGGGCCGUGAGAGCGGUAGCCCCGAGAAGGACACUGAGAUACUGGUCCUAGCCCUACGGGGUGCAGCAGGCGCGAAACCUUUACAAUGCACGAAAGUGUGAUAAGGGAACCCUAAGUGCUCAUGUUUUACAUGGGCUUUUGCCAAGAAUAAAUAUCUUGGCGAAUAAGUGGUGGGAAAGACUGGUGCCAGCAGCCGCGGUAACACCAGCGCCACAAGUAGGGACCACUACUAUUGGGCCUAAAGCGUCCGUAGCCGGCUGAAUAAAUUUCUUGUGAAAUUGUUGGGCUUAACCUAACAACGUGCAGGAAAAACUGUUCAGCUUGGAACCGGGAGAAGUCAGGAGUAUGCUGGGGGGAGCGGUAAAAUGUUAUAAUCCCCGGUAGACUACCAGUGGCGAAGGCGCCUGACUAGAACGGAUUCGACGGUGAGGGACGAAAGCCAGGGGAGCGAAGCGGAUUAGAUACCCGUGUAGUCCUGGCCGUAAACGCUGCGAGCUAGGUGUUGCAUAUUCUACAUGAAUAUGCAGUAUCGAAGCGAAGGUGAUAAGCUCGCCGCCUGGGAAGUAUGGUCGCAAGGCUGAAACUUAAAGGAAUUGGCGGGGGAGCACUACAAGGGGUGCGGCGUGCGGUUUAAUCUAAUUCAACGCAGAGAAUCUCACCAGAAGCGACGGCAGGAUGAAAGUCAGGCUAAAGGUCUUACUUGACGAGCCGAGAGGUAGUGCAUGGCCGCCGUCAGCUCGUGCUGUAAAGUGUCCUGUUAAGUCAGGCAACGAGCGAGACCUGCAUCUACAAUUGCUAACGGAUUCUUUAGAAUGACUGAGCACAUUGUGGAGACUGCCCUGGAAACAGGGAGGAAGGUGCAGGCUACGGUAGGUCUGUAUGCUCCGAAUCUUCUGGGCUACACGCGCGCAACAAUGGUAAGGACAAUGGGAUGCGACUCCGAAAGGAGGAGCUAAUCCUCGAAACCUUAUCCAAGUCUAGAUUGAGGAUUGUAACUCAUCCUCAUGACAAUGGAAUCCCUAGUAAUCAGAGUUUAUCAUACUCCGGUGAACAUGUCCCUGCUCCUUGCACACACCGCCCGUCAAGCCACCCGAGUAGGGUUUAGGUGAGAGGUAAAUUUUAUUUGCAUCGAACCUAAGCUCAGCGAGGAGGGCUAAGUCGUCACAAGGUA